rnacentral:misc_RNA from 1 species
GAUGAAGAACGCAGUGAAAUGCGAUAAGUAAUGUGGAUUGCAGAAUUCAGUGAAUCAUCGAAUCUUUGAACGCAACUUGCGCUCUCUGGUAUUCCGGAGAGCAUGCCUGUUUGAGUAUCAUGAAAUCUCAACCAUUAGGGUUUCUUAAUGGCUUGGAAUUGGGUGUUGCCAGUCGCCUGGCUCGCCUUAAAAGAGUUAGCGUGUUUAACUUGUCUAUCUGGCGUAAUAAGUUUCGCUGGUGUCGGCUUGAGAAGUACGCUUCUAAUCGUCUUCGGACAAUUCUUGAACUCUGGUCUCAAAUCAGGUAGGGCUACCCGCUGAACUUAAGCAUAUCAAUAAGCGGAGGA